GAACCUUACCUGGGCUCGAAGUGCCGGUGACCAGCGGUGGAAACAUCGCCUUCCCGCAAGGGACACCGGUAGAGGUGCUGCAUGGCUGUCGUCAGCUCGUGCCGUGAGGUGUUGGGUUAAGUCCCGCAACGAGCGCGACCCCUACUCUUAGUUGCCACCCGCAAGGGGGAACUCUAAGAGGACUGCUCCGGAUAACGGAGAGGAAGGUGGGGAUGACGUCAAGUCAGCACGGCCUUUAUGUCCAGGGCUACACACGUGUUACAAUGCAUGGUACAAACCGUCGCGAACCCGCGAGGGGGAGCUAAUCGGAAAAAGCCGGCCUCAGUUCGGAUUGGAGUCUGCAACUCGACUCCAUGAAGCUGGAAUCGCUAGUAAUCGCGGAUCAGAACGCCGCGGUGAAUACGUUCCCGGGCCUUGUCACACCGA
rnacentral:rRNA from 1 species